UCUCUCUGCUAGCCUCAGCGGAGAGAGUUGCAGUUCGCUCUGGGCCCGUGUGGAAUAGAGACACUGUUCUUCAUCUGACUGGUAGGAGAGGAAAGCGAAGACUCCUUGAGGUUUUCCAAAGAGGUCCGGGCUGGCUGCUUUACAGCAAUUCUUGACUUCAUUUCUUCAUUGUGGAGCU
rnacentral:lncRNA from 1 species